UACAUAGACCUCAAUGUCCGGUACAAACUGAUUGUAAUUUCGGGCACCAUGUCUUCUUCUUUAUUUUACGAAAAAUACCCCUCGGGAGUGACGAAUUACAUUUAAUUUCGCGACAGUUGACUUACCCCUCUCGAUGGUCUGACAUUUUGUUGCUGUCAAAAAUCGGCAAUGCGAGGUGUCAAACUCUUUGUUUACUUUAGUAAUUGAAUUGUGGUCUUACGUCUUGCGACUAAUUAAAGUUUGUAAAAUAUUUAUUUAGUUAAAUAGUGAAUAAGUUAUAUCACGAUUUAUGAGGCGCGUCCGAUUGAAAGGCGAUACGGGUCGUGCGAAGGAUAGGUAACCUAAAAUCGCUUCUAAAUGGGAUUUCCAAGCGAGUUUUCGUCAAGGCCACGACCGGCUCGAUACAUCUACCAUCUGCGGCUGCUGCGGGUGGAGCAUACAACCUACACACUUAAAAUAAAUCGCCGACUUCGCAUGUUACAGUAGCUGCUGUAGUAAAUAGAAUCUUUGGCUUUGCAUCGGACAGUUUGGCGUUGCAGCAGCACCCCGUUAUUCAUCCAGGUGAAAGCUCACAUAAACUGUUGAGCCGCGAAUGAAUUGCUCACUUUUAAACCAACGGCGCAGUCUGGACCGAUUCUUCGAUGUAAAAAAAACAAGAGCAGUUAGCCUGCCUCGCCUUAUGGGAAUGAGACUGCAGUUAUGUGCUGCAGUGCUAAACUCCCGGAAAUAAACCGAAAAAAGCGACUGACAUAUCUUGAUUUAGUAGGCUAUGGUAUGCCCGGAAUCUACGUUGACGAUGCGUAUUCUAGCGAAAUUUAUCGGAAACAUUAUUUCAAAACCGUUUGGCAAAGACAUCUCUCGGCAUAGUAGAAACUAGUACAUGACCGGUAGCGCAAACUCUGUUGAGAACCGGGCGAGCAUGCGAAAAAUAAAUGGGAACAGUGACAUCUGGAUCGCAAGAGUAAGCCAUCAGCAGGGUCUAUACGAUCGUACACGACCAAUACAUCAACCACCACCAGCUAAAUGGAUUCGGCAUUCUCCAACCUACGAGUCAGAAAAGGGUCCAUCGCCUAAGCUCAGAGAAUCGUUUGUGUAUAAUAGCGCUAGCUGGAGCUUCGACACGUGUCCAAACAAUAUCCAUCAAUAUCCAUCCAAGACCAAACAAUAUCCAUCCAUCCGGCUUGAAGGAAUCUAUUAUUGAAUGCAGUAGGGAAUGAUUAGGAAAAAUAGUCUACUAGAUUUGAGCAACAAGAAAAAUAUGCGCAUAACAAAGAACAGAAGAAACGAAGGCUCCUCCGCAAGCUCGAUAUUCUAUUGACCACUGGUUCCUGUCUUUGAGAGUACGUGUGCGUGAAAAAUAUUACCAAUGUGAAGGUAAUCUGCGAUAUCCUGAUUUACAGGAUUGAAUCGAAUGGGAAGAAUGAUGGCAGAAUCACUCAGAACUCUACUAACUAUUCCUCACCUAGUUCUUAAAGCACCAAUAAUAGUGAUUUAUGAAAACAACACAACUAUAUGCAGAAGUCUUAACCCCCGGAGGCACAGAAGGAAAAAUCUAAAACGAUGCCGAAACCACUGUCUCACAUCACGAUGUUAGAAACGAACAUUCAUCGAAACUCUAAAGGGGAAAGGCAUCACGGAUCGUCCUUGGAGCUCAUCAAGAACUUUAUAUCGGUUUACUACAAAUAUAUCGCCAGUGCACUUUGACUUCAAUCAUAGACCAAUCAUUCAAUCAUAGGCCUAAUAAUCAAUCAGACCAAUCAAUCAAUUAUAGACAAUCAAUCAUAGACGAAACAAUCAAUCAUAAACCAAUAAAUUAUUAAUAAAUCAAUCAAUCAAUCCCGUGAUGAACUUAUUUUUAAGAUACAAAUUCUCGUUAAUAAAGUAUUAAAAAAAAUCAAUCAAUCAUGGAUCAAUCAACUAUAGGCCAACCAAUAUCAAUCAUAGGGCGAUCAAUUAAUCAUAAACCAGUCAAUCAAUCAUAUACCAAUCAAUUAAUCAUAGGCCAAUCAAUCAUAGAUCAAUCAAUCAGUCAUAAACCAAUCAAUUAAUCAUAGGCCAAUCAAUAAGUCAUAGACCAAUCAAUUAAUCAUAGGCCAAUCAAUCAAUCAUAGACCAAUAAAUCAAUCAUAGGCCAAUCAAUAUCAAUCAUAGAUCAAGCAGGGGGCCCUCCUUAGCCGUGUGGUAAGAUGCGCGGCUACCAAGCAGUACCAUGCUGAGGGUGGCUGGGUUCGAUUCCCGUCGCCGGUCUAGGCAAUUUUCGGUUUGGAAAUUGUCUCGACUUCCCUGGGCAUAAAAGUAUCAUCGUGUUAGCCUCAUGAUAUACAAAUGCAGAAAUGGUAACUUGGCUUAGAAACCUCGCAGUUAAUAACUGUGGAAGUGAAUGAACACUAAGCUACGAAACGGCAAUGCCCCAGUGAGGGAAUUAAUGCCAAUGAAGAAGAAGAAGAAGAUUAAGCAAUGAAUCAUUUUUUAGUUCUUUAUUUAAGUGAUUUUUUAAUGUGAAAUAAAGUUCAUCACUGCAAUCAAUCAUAGGCCAAUGAAUUAAUCAUAGAUCAAUCAAUCAUUCAUAAACCAAUCAAUCAAUCAUAGAUCAAUCAAUCAAUCAUAGGACAAUCAAUGAAUCAUAGACCAAUCAAUCAUUCAUAGGCCAAUCAAAUAAUCAUAGGCCAAUCAAUCAAUUAGAGAUCAAUCAAUCAAUCAUAGCCCAAUCAAUUAAUCAUAAGCCAAUCAAUAAAUCAUAAACCAAUCAAUCAAUCAUAGACCAAUCAAUCAAUCAUAGGCCAAUCAAUCAAUCAUGGACCAUACAAUCAAUCAUAGACCAAGCAAUAAUGGGCCAACCAAUCAUUCAUAGGUCAAUCAAUCAGUCAUAGGCCAAUAAAUCAGUCAUGAAUCAAUCAAUCAUAGGGCAAUCAUAGGCAAAUCAAUCAAUCAUAAACCGAUCAAUCAAUCAAUCAUAGGCCAAUCAAUCAAUCAAUGAUAGACCAGUCAAUCGAUCAUAGGCCAAUAUAUUAUAGACCUAUCAAUCAAUCAUAGACCAAUCAAUUAACCAUAGGUCAAUCAAUCAAUCAUAGGCCAAUCAAUUAAUCAUAGACCAAUAGAUUCGUCGAUUGAUAUUUAUAUUACACUAUGGAUCUCCGGCUCCUCUAUCAAAAUUGCAUUUUGAAGUGAGUUGACACCGUAUUAUGUAUGAAAUAUAUAUUAGUUUGAAAUAAAAUAAAGUGAUUUUAAGAUAAAUCUAAAUUAAUCUUCUUCUUCUUAUUGGCAUUACAUACCCACACUGGGACAGAGCCGCCUCACAGCUUAGUGUUUAUUAAGCACUUCCACAGUUAUUAACUGGGAGGUUUCUAAGCCAUGUUACCAUUUUUGCAUACGUAUAUCAUGAGGCUAGCACGAUGAUACUUUUAUGCCCAGGAAAGUCGAGACAAUCUAAAUUAAAUUGAAGUUAAAAAGUUAAAAUGAAACGAACUUUUCACUUUCGGACUACACACAUGGACUACAUUCAAACACAAAUGCAAACUACUAAAACUAAACCAACUUCAAUGAAACUUCAUAAAAUUUUCGUAUUGUUAAGUAAUAAAUUUAAGAGUAGAGUGUACUAAUUAUUUUUUUUAAUAAAUAUCUCAGUGUAUCAUCUUAUUUGGCUCUCUAGUUUUCCAUGCGAGCACAAGUAUAGCAUUAGCUAUCCAAAGAUGAGUUCGAUUUCCCGUUCGGCCUAGGAUGUUUUCGGGUGGAAAACAUACUCUGCUCCCUGGGCAUAAAAAAGCUGUUAAUAAUAAUUCUGGAAAUGCUUAGAAAACACGUUGUAU